rnacentral:lncRNA from 1 species
AAGCAAAUCGUCAUCCUUGCACGGAUUGACUUAAUGAUGACGUCACGAAGUGAAUCGUGAGGGCAAGUUAUAUCCUGACCAACUUAAUCGAAAUUAAAAUAAUACGAACAGAAUAAAAUAAAUCUAUUUAGCAUUUGAUUAUAUACUUAUUGCCGUAAGUAAAUAAUAUGGUGUUUAAGAAAUACGAGAUCUGACAUUAAGUAAAAAAAUUAAUUGUUCUUUCCUGAAGGAUUGUCACAUGAUCUUUGUUGCUAUAAUUUGCUUACUAUUUCUGAUGCACGACUUAUAAUUUAAUAAAUUCACUUCGGUCUGCUGUUUCUAGUAUCAUUUAUAAGUUUUAUAAAUGAUGAUAUUAUUUAUUGCUGUUGGUUUAAAUUUAAAGAUGUAGGUUUACCCAAAACAAUUAUUAAUUACUAUUAAUUUGUGCAGAUUGACAUUUUUGAUCUGUAUUCCACCAUAAAAUAUUUAGAUGUGAACUAACAUCUCAACAUGAAAACAAUGUUGCUGUCAGACUCACUCUGACAGCUGUCAACAUUAAACUUCGAAAGUGAUGAACUAAACAUAAGUGUAGGAUUUUACUUUUUUGCUUGAAUAAGAACAAGAUCAAAUAAAUCAGAUUCGAGACUCGUUUGAACAACAAAUUCAUUAUAUAUUAAUCCAACAGAAUUAAAAGACAUUUAUUAUAGAUUUCAAUUUUAAGUUUAGAGUCAACAUAUGCAAGAACGCAUAUUCGUGUUUUUGAACUCUAUCUUUUUCUCUCUUUUCUCUUCCAUGAUGAAGAGGAGAAACAGACGUUUCCUACUCCUGUAUAGUUAUUUGUUUCACUGAUCUCGCUCCUUCUCUUAUUGAACAAUGCAGCAGUUUACAAUAUUGAGUUUAUUGCGGAAACAAAUAACGCGAAGAAACUUGUAUUGCUUAGAAUAUUUGCCAAAAAUGGUCAUAGUCGUAUUUUUUGCAUUUGAACAUCGAAGACCCUCAAAGUACUUCUCCCAAAGAACUUCUUAUUCUCAAUCUUUUUUGCUUUUCUCCUCCUCAUUUUCUGAAUUUUCUCUGGCUUGUUGAUUGUUUUUCUUGUCGAUAUGUUAUGCAUUCAUUCACUAGAACUUGAUGAAAUAUGUCAUUAUUAAAAGUCAUCUACUUUAUAUAUGAGACCUCUGUUCCUGGACAUACCUUUAUAUUUGGCACUUCUGUUUACUAGGCUAUAUUUCUGUUUGUUUCUCCGAUAUAACUAUUUGAAUUAUGUGGCUGUUAAUAAACCUUGUUUUUGUAUGAAACAUUCGGAAAACGUCAUUUAUAUGAUUGCAAAUCGUAUUAGCAAUAAAUACGGAUCACGUACGUUACGAGACAAAUUAUCCGCGAGUUGUCAUAUAAUAUUUCUCAAAUCAGCAUAGCUAUUUAAUAAAUAUAAAUAAACGUAAAAUAUAGAAUUUUAUGAAGUCUGUAUAACUAGAAAAUUUCUAUAAUAAAUUGUGUUACAAUAUGCUACAGUAAGAGCCUGUUCAAAUUCACUUCUCUCUUGCGAUAAACUUCUCAACUCUAUUUCCUUUCAAUAUUAUAACAGUAUAUAUUAUGUACAUUUCAUAUAAAAAUAUCAGAAAAAUUAAUGUAUAGUGUGUAUGAAAAUCAUAAAUAGUAUAAAUAAAACAAGCAAGUUAUAUAUAAUAUAAUGGGAAAAUAUUAAAAUUUUUAUUAUAACUGAUACAUGUUAAUUUAAAUAAAUAGGAAUUUAGUACGGCUU